CGGGGGGGGCAAGCGUUGUUCGGAAUUACUGGGCGUAAAGGGCGCGUAGGCGGCCUGCUAAGCCGGACGUGAAAUCCCCCGGCUCGAACCGGGGAACUGCGUCCGAUACUGGUGGGCUCGAAUCCGGGAGAGGGAUGUGGAAUUCCAGGUGUAGCGGUGAAAUGCGUAGAUAUCUGGAGGAACACCGGUGGCGAAGGCGGCAUCCUGGACCGGCAUUGACGCUGAGGCGCGAAAGCCAGGGGAGCAAACGGGAUUAGAUACCCCGGUAGUCCUGGCCCUAAACGAUGAGUGCUUGGUGUGGCGGGUAUCGAUCCCUGCCGUGCCGAAGCUAACGCAUUAAGCACUCCGCCGUGGGGAGUACGGUCGCAAGGCUAG
rnacentral:rRNA from 1 species